AAGAGGAAUACAUCGAAUUACAAGUCA
rnacentral:sRNA from 1 species